AUUGAACGCUGGCGGCAUGCCUUACACAUGCAAGUCGAACGGCAGCACGGGAGCAAUCCUGGUGGCGAGUGGCGAACGGGUGAGUAAUGUAUCGGAACGUGCCCAGUCGUGGGGGAUAACGCAGCGAAAGCUGUGCUAAUACCGCAUACGAUCUAUGGAUGAAAGCGGGGGAUCGCAAGACCUCGCGCGAUUGGAGUGGCCGAUAUCAGAUUAGCUAGUUGGCGGGGUAAAAGCUUACCAAGGCGACGAUCUGUAGCUGGUCUGAGAGGACGACCAGCCACACUGGAACUGAGACACGGUCCAGACUCCUACGGGAGGCAGCAGUGGGGAAUUUUGGACAAUGGGCGCAAGCCUGAUCCAGCAAUGCCGCGUGCAGGAUGAAGGCCUUCGGGUUGUAAACUGCUUUUGUACGGAGCGAAAAGGCUCUCUCUAAUACAGGGGGCUCAUGACGGUACCGUAAGAAUAAGCACCGGCUAACUACGUGCCAGCCGCCGCGGUAA
rnacentral:rRNA from 1 species